rnacentral:rRNA from 1 species
CGCAUCUGUGCAUGCAGCAUAUCAAUAAGCGGAGGAAAAGAAACUAACAAGGAUUCCCUUAGUAACGGCGAGUGAAGCGGGAAGAGCUCAAAUUUGAAAUCUUCAAGGUUUUACCUUGACGAAUUGUAGUUUAAAGAAGUGUUUUCUGUUGAAGUUUUGGUAAAAGUUCUUUGGAAUAGGACAUCAUAGAGGGUGAGAAUCCCGUAUUUGACCAUUAUUUUCAGCUGUGUGAUACACUUUCAAAGAGUCGGAUUGUUUGGGAAUGCAGUCCAAAAUGGGUGGUAAAUUUCAUCUAAAGCUAAAUAUUGGCGAGAGACCGAUAGCGAACAAGUACCGUGAGGGAAAGAUGAAAAGAACUUUGAAAAGAGAGUUAAACAGUACGUGAAAUUGUCAAAAGGGAAGCGUUUGACACCAGUGUUGUUUUCUCGAAAAUCAAUUAAAAAGAGUUAGAUUUUGUUGUGUAUUGACCUUAACAGCUUGCAUUUCAAUUUUCUUGCUUUUUUUAAAUGCACUUUUCGUUUAACAAGUCAACAUCAGUUUCUUUUGUUGUAAAAAGGUCAUUGGAAGGUGGCUUUCUUUUCGGAGAAAGUGUUUAUAGCCUUUGACUCCUGCAAUCGGAGAGACUGAGGUCUGCAGCGUAGAUCCUUCGGGGUUAGAUACAUUUGUGCUAAGUUAUAGCUUUUUAUAGACAACUUGUUGACUAUGAUUAGUCUUGUAGCUUACUCGCUUAUGCUAUUUUACCUACGCUUAGGAUGUUGAUGUGAUACUGCGAGCA